rnacentral:rRNA from 1 species
GUCUUUUUGAGUAUAAUUUAAGGUUUGACCUGCCCUAUGAUAAUAGUUAUUAAAUGGCCGCGGUAUCUUGACCGUGCAAAGGUAGCAUAAUCAUUAGUUUUUUAAUUGAAAGCUUGAAUGAAGGGUUUGAUGAAAAAAUUUCUGUCUCUAUUUAAAUUUAUUAAAAUUUUAAUUUUAAGUGAAAAAGCUUAAAUAUUUAUUGAAGACGAGAAGACCCUAUAGAGUUUUAUAUUAAUUUUAGUUAAUAUAUUUUUGGCAUUAAAAUUUUAUUUGAAAUUAAUAUUUAGUUGGGGUGAUUAAAAAAUUAAGAGAACUUUUUUUUCAGAAGAACAUAGAUUUAUGAAUAAUUGAUCCUUGUAUAAAGAUUAAAAGAUAAAAUUACCUUAGGGAUAACAGCGUAAUUUUUUUUUAGAGUUCAAAUUAAAAAAAAAGAUUGCGACCUCGAUGUUGGAUUAAAAAAAAUUAUUGGUGUAGAAGCUAAUAAAUUAGGUCUGUUCGACCUUUAAAAUUUUACAUGAUCUGAGUUUAAACCGGUGUGAG